rnacentral:lncRNA from 1 species
GGCUCCGAGGCACCUCUGCCACCAGGCAGUGCGCGGAGAGACCAGGUGGGCACUGAAUGGGCAACCCUGCACCGUCCUCUUGAAAACAGCAUCCUGAGAGGUACGGGCCCUCCAGCUCUCAAAUGCCAGAGCCUCCGUGUCUACAUAGAAUGUUCCAGGUCAAGAAACAAAGCCUUAGAGAGGCUCCCAGGCCUGCCACGGAGCUAGAAAGUGACAGAGCUAGGAUUUGAACUUGGCACUUGUCACCCAACAAGUGGUCUUUAGCUGCUGUCCGGUCUCCCUGAGAUGCAUGCCUCCUCCUCUUGGAACACAGCACCCAUCACCUUACCCCCAGCGGACAUAUCCUGGUUUGACCAUGUUACUGCAGGAAAGAAGAGCUGGCCUUCUGUGGCAGAUUGAAUCAUGUUCAUCCAAAGAUGUGCUAAAUAAAUCCUCACCCCUGGUCCCUGUGCAGGUGACCUCAUCUGGAAAUAGGGUCUCUGCAGAAGUAAUCAAGUUAAGCCCAGGAGACCCACUGGAGAAGGAGGCUGGGGCUUAGAGAAGUGGAAUCACGUGCCUAAGGAGAGGAAGCUAGUGCCGGGCAACGCCAGGACUCGGACCCAGGGCUUGCUGACACCAGACCCCAGUGUCUGACUCAUUGGCUCCCCAAGAGCAGUUACCUUCGUAAGAAGCCUUGAAGCCCAGGGAGCUGCCGCUGCCAUCGGUCUGGAAGAGGAGCCACAUUUGAUGGUUGGUGCUGACGAUGAGAUCCGGGACCGAGUUACCUGUCAGGCUGUCGGGAGAGAGAGAUUUAGAGGCGUGCACCCCAUCAUGGCACCCCAAGAGAAUGACUGUUAGGAGACACGAGGCUGAAAACACAGCAGCCACCCCAGGCCACAUUCUUUCUGAAGAAGAGCAUUUAAGCAUGGAGAGGAUUCUGAUUCAACUCACAUUUACCAGGUACCUACCCAGAUACGAAGCACUCACCACAUGCCACCCGAGGAGGUGGGCAUUUCAACAGGGAGCACGACAUGGGCCCUGCCCUCGGUGAACAGGGAGACGGAAAAGUAAACUGAUAACUGCAAUGCCAGGUGACAGAUGCUACAGUGAGGGCUUGCAGAUCUCAGAGCCUUGUCGGGGGGCGGGAGUCGGGGAGCAGUGUGGGCGGGGGCUGUUCACGAUGGGGGUUGUGGUCUGAGAAUUUGGAAGGUUAUGGAAGACAGCCAAGUCAAAGGGGGAUGCUGGGACAGGAGGGGUCAGGUACACAAGGGCUGAGCUGGGGCAGAGAUGGAACGUUUUAGAACAAAUAGUCAGCAUCUUGUCAAUGUACGUCCACAAACAGCACAGCUGGCAGCCGCCUUGCUCUGGGGGACAAUGUGGAUGGGCCCUCAGUGCAAGGAGAUGACUCAAAAAGGCUUGGAAUUUGAGAUGUUUGCCUGGAGCUAAGUCCAAAGGGUUUCGUGGUCUCCCCUGCCCCAAACGGCUGGGGUUCAUCCUGGCGGGGGGGGGACAGAAGGGUCUUGCACAGUGGCUGGCAGGGACACCUAAGUGCCGGAGAAUGUAGGUAUGGGUGCUCAGGUGGAAAAUGCAGAAGGGAGGCUGGGGGAGGUGAGGACAGCUCGAGGCUUCUAUGGCAGUUAAGUGAGCGAUGCAGCGGGGCAGGAGGGGUGGAAGAGAGACAAGGCCUGACAUCUUUAGGGCCGUGUGAUUGGAUGGAUAUGGAGGGAUCUGGGAUGACUUGCGGGUUUCGGGUUUGGGCAACUGGGUGCUGGGUGACAGUGCUAGUCACGGAGACAGGACACACAGAGGCCCCUCUCCUAACAUCUAGUCUCCGUCUCUUGUCUGCUUCAGUCAAGGCAAUGGAGAUGCUCAGUCCCCCAGUAGGGAGGCUGGAGGUGCUUCUUUGUUUUCUAUUCUAUAACCCAGGGACUAGAGAAUUCCCGUGGAUCAUCCUUCCUAGCUGUGCAGGCUUUCCCUGUCCAAAUCAAACAGCCCCUCGGAGGGAAGCUCCCCCAGGGGGUCUUCAGGUACCUCAGCAGGAAACCUGUGCAGCCCUUGGGCACGAGCCCAGUACAGUGUGUGCAGGCUCCCCACCUCCAGCACACUCACGGGGACGAGGGGGUCCCCCUGGCUGGGAGGAGGCUGGAGGAGGCUUCCUGGAGGAGAUGAAGCCCAGGCUGAUUUGCGAGAUGGAGUGGAGCUCAAUAAAUGGAGAAGGAAGGGGAAGCCGGUCCUGCCUUCCAAAAGAUGUUGCCAUUUCCUGCGCCCCGGCUCCCCUGGCCAUGUCUCCACAUCUUUGAGCUCUUGGUCAAGUGCUCCCUGACUGCCCUUCCUCCUUGCUCUGUGUCAGGACUUACCUGUGACUGACCUGGCAACUGGUCUUCCACCAUACCAUGAGCCCCCUGGAGGGCAGGGGCCAGGUCUCAUGGCCUCUGACCUGCCAGCAUCCACUGGUGUGCCAGGGGCUCAGACAAUGUUGAAUAGGAGAAAGCUUUCUAAACUUUUCCUGACUCUCCAGUGUGGAUGGAUUGCCAGGCUCUUGGACCCCUCACAGGAGGUGCCAUCUAGAACAAAGGUGGGCAGACUGCUCCCUUAAAGGGCCAGGGAGUAGAUAUUUGCCCCUGUGCAUUCCAUCUGAUGUCCGUCGCAGAGACCCAGCUUUGCUGUCACAGGAUGAACGGAGCCAUGGCUGCGUACACCCAAGUAGCAUGUACAGCCCUAACCCACGUACAAACAUGUGCAUACGAAUGAGUGUGCUUGUGUUCCAAUAAAAGUUUGCAAAAACAAGCAAUGAACU